CCUACGCGAGGCAGCAGUGAGGAAUAUUGGUCAAUGGGCGAGAGCCUGAACCAGCCAAGUCGCGUGAGGGAGUACUGCCCUAUGGGUUGUAAACCUCUUUUGUCGGGGAGCAAAAGCCGGACGUGUCCGGCUGUGAGAGUACCCGAAGAAAAAGCAUCGGCUAACUCCGUGCAAGCAGCCGCGGUAAUACGGAGGAUGCGAGCGUUAUACGGAUUUAUUGGGUUUAAAGGGUGCGCAGGCGGAUUUUUAAGUCAGUGGUCAAAUCGUGGGGAUCAACCCCAUCCAGCCGUUGAAACUGGGGAUCUAGAGUGUGCGAGAGGUAUGCGGAAUGCGUGGUGUAGCGGUGAAAUGCAUAGAUAUCACGCAGAACCCCGAUUGCGAAGGCAGCAUACCGGUGCACAACUGACGCUCAGGCACGAAAGCGUGGGUAUCGAACAGGAUUAGAUACCCUGGUAGUC
rnacentral:rRNA from 1 species